AGAGUUGAUCCUGGCUCAGGAUGAACGCUGGCGGCGUGCUUAACACAUGCAAGUCGAACGGAGCCUAUCGAGUGCUUGCACUGAGAAAGCUUAGUGGCGGACGGGUGAGUAACGCGUGGGUAACCUGCCCUAUACUGGGGGAUAACAGUUGGAAACGACUGCUAAUACCGCAUAAGCCUACAGUGCCGCAUGACACAGUAGGAAAAACUCCGGUGGUAUAGGAUGGACCCGCGUCUGAUUAGCUAGUUGGUGAGGUAACGGCCCACCAAGGCGACGAUCAGUAGCCGGCCUGAGAGGGUGAACGGCCACAUUGGGACUGAGACACGGCCCAAACUCCUACGGGAGGCAGCAGUGGGGAAUAUUGCACAAUGGGGGAAACCCUGAUGCAGCCGACGCCGCGUGAGUGAAGAAGUAUUUCGGUAUGUAAAGCUCUAUCAGCAGGGAAGAUAAUGACGGUACCUGACUAAGAAGCACCGGCUAAAUACGUGCCAGCCGCGGC
rnacentral:rRNA from 1 species